rnacentral:misc_RNA from 1 species
AGGAAAAGUGUCCUAGGCCAACACAAGAGCAAUUUUCUAGUAGUUGAGGUUGAGAUUGCUCUAGGACAAUAUCAGAUGAGUAAAUUAUGAACCACCAGUAGUACUAGCGUAUUUCUAUAAAAUUUAAGACCAAUUCAUAAACUGACUCAACUACUCCAUUAGCGAAACAGCUUUUGCACACAUGAGAACCAAUCUGGAAGCAACUCCUUCAGAAUUCCCCUCUCUUAAAAUUGAAAUUCACAGUCCAACACCUAUCAAAGGCACUUUUGCUACUUCUCUAACCUUU